UACGUAGGAGGCAAGCGUUGUCCGGAAUUACUGGGCGUAAAGCGCGUGUAGGUGGUGGGACAAGUCUGCUGUGAAAGCGCCUGGCUUAACCGGGCGAGGUCGGCGGAAACUGUCCGACUCGAGGACGGUAGAGGGGGGGGUGGAAUUCCCGGUGUAGUGGUGAAAUGCGUAGAGAUCGGGAGGAACACCUGUGGCGAAGGCGGCCGGCUGGGCCGUCCCUGACGCUGAGGCGCGAAGGCGUGGGGAGCGAACGGG
rnacentral:rRNA from 1 species